rnacentral:tRNA from 2 species
CGGGCUAUAGUAUAAUGGUAGUAUUUGCCCUUGGGGUGGGUAAGACCCCGGUUCAAAUCCGGGUAGCCCGA